AGAAUAAAGCACCGGCUAACUCUGUGCCAGCAGCCGCGGUAAUACAGAGGGUGCAGGCGUUAAUCGGAAUUACUGGGCGUAAAGCGAGCGUAGGUGGCUUGAUAAGUCAGAUGUGAAAUCCCCGGGCUUAACCUGGGAACUGCAUCUGAAACUGUUAGGCUAGAGUAGGUGAGAGGAAGGUAGAAUUCCAGGUGUAGCGGUGAAAUGCGUAGAGAUCUGGAGGAAUACCGAUGGCGAAGGCAGCCUUCUGGCAUCAUACUGACACUGAGGCUCGAAAGCGUGGGUAGCAAACAGGAUUAGAUACCCUGGUAGUCCACGCCGUAAACGAUGUCUACUAGUCGUUGGGUCCCUUGAGGACUUAGUGACGCAGCUAACGCAAUAAGUAGACCGCCUGGGGAGUACGGCCGCAAGGUUAAAACUCAAAUGAAUUGACGGGGGCCUGCACAAGCGGUGGAGCAUGUGGUUUAAUUCGAUGCAACGCGAAGAACCUUACCUGGUCUUGACAUAUCUAGAAUCCUGCAGAGAUGCGGGAGUGCCUUCGGGAAUUAGAAUACAGGUGCUGCAUGGCUGUCGUCAGCUCGUGUCGUGAGAUGUCGGGUUAAGUCCCGCAACGAGCGCAACCCUUGUCCUUAGUUACCAGCGGGUUAAGCCGGGAACUCUAAGGAUACUGCCAGUGACAAACUGGAGGAAGGCGGGGACGACGUCAAGUCAUCAUGGCCCUUACGACCAGGGCUACACACGUGCUACAAUGGUAGGUACAGAGGGCAGCUACACAGCGAUGUGAUGCGAAUCUCAAAAAGCCUAUCGUAGUCCAGAUUGGAGUCUGCAACUCGACUCCAUGAAGUAGGAAUCGCUAGUAAUCGCGAAUCAGAAUGCCGCGGUGAAUACGUUCCCGGGCCUUGUACACACCGCCCGUC
rnacentral:rRNA from 1 species